rnacentral:tRNA from 1 species
UGUUCCAUUUAAAAUACGUUACCUAUCCACCUUGACAGGGUGGGGGUCAGUGGUUCGAGCCCACUACAGAUCAU